rnacentral:rRNA from 1 species
GUUGAACGCUGGCGGCGGGCUUAACACAUGCAAGUCGAACGGGUGGCGGACGGGCGAGUGAUGCUGGGGAAUCUAGCUAAUGUAGGGGUAUAAGUACGGGAAAAUGUGGCUAAUACCGCGUACCAUAGGAUGAGCCCAAGUGGGAGUCGGUAGUUGGUGAGGUAAAGGCUCACCAACCGACGAGCCUUAGCAGGUCCAAGAGGAUGACCGGCCACACUGGGACUGAGACACGGCCCAGACUCCUACGGGAGGCAGCAGUGGGGAAUAUUGCGCAAUGGGGGAAACUCUGACCCAGCCAUGCCGCGUGAAUGAAGAAGGUUUUCGGGUUGUAAAGCUCUGUCGGUAGAGAGGCGUUAACUAACCAGGAAGCACCGGCUAACUACGUGCCAGCAGCCGCGGUAAUAC